rnacentral:tRNA from 1 species
GUGAAUAUAGUUUAAAUAAAACCCUAGAUUGUGAUUCUAGGAAUGAGAGAUAGUAUCUCUCUGUUCACC